rnacentral:rRNA from 1 species
CGGGACGGGUGAGUAAUGUCGGGGAAACCGCCCGAUGGAGGGGGAUAACUACUGGAAACGGUAGCUAAUACCGCAUAACGUCGCAAGACCAAAGAGGGGGACCUUCGGGCCUCUUGCCAUCGGAUGUGCCCAGAUGGGAUUAGCUAGUAGGUGGGGUAACGGCUCACCUAGGCGACGAUCCCUAGCUGGUCUGAGAGGAUGACCAGCCACACUGGAACUGAGACACGGUCCAG